rfam:Schistosoma margrebowiei strain Zambia genome assembly, scaffold: SMRZ_contig0003787
AGCUUUUUGUAUCUGUGCUGAGAUUUCGACACACCAAACCACAAGGGUUGAUGAAACUUUCAAGAUAAGUGAAGCG